CACAGAAAGUCAUAGAGGAUUUUUUGUGAAGGGAUGUCAUAAUUUUGGAUAAAGAUAUUUUUGUCAUGUAAAUGAAAAUAUCAAUCUACAGUCAUUAAAUGUGUGUCAGAAAGCGAUGGCUAUAUGAUUCAAUUGAAAGAAAUAGUAUAUUCCACAUCGAAUUUUUUUCAUCACAGGUAGUGUACAAAGAAUUACUCUUUUGGAUUUCAUCUUCGGAAACCAACCUCAACUUCACCUUUCUGACGUGCUGAAAACAUGAAUAAAGGUAAUGUUGCGAAAGAUUUUCGAUCCCAUACGAAAAUAGCUGGAGUAAAUGAAAGACCAUCGCAGCGGCAUUCCUGCAAAACAAGUUUUAAUCGGAAUUGGCUCCGACGAGGAUCUUUCGACAG